rnacentral:rRNA from 1 species
UACGAAGGGGCUAGCGUUGCUCGGAAUCACUGGGCGUAAAGCGCACGUAGGCGGCUUUCUAAGUCAGGGGUGAAAUCCUGGAGCUCAACUCCAGAACUGCCUUUGAUACUGGCGAUCUUGAGUCCGGGAGAGGGUGAGUGGAACUGCGAGUGUAGAGGUGAAAAUUCGUAGAUAUUCGCAAGAACACCAGUGGCGAAGGCGGCUCACUGGCCCGGUAUGACGCUGAGGGUGCGAAAAGCGUGGGGGAGCAAACAGGG